rnacentral:rRNA from 1 species
UACGUAGGUGGCGAACGUUGUCCGGAUUCACUGGGCGUAAAGCGCGCGCAGGCGGACGGGUAAGUCUGAGGUGAAAGCUCCUGGCUCAACUAGGAGAGGCCCUUGGAUACUGCUCGUCUUGAGACAUCUAGAGGAGAGUGGAAUUCCCGGUGUAGUGGUGGAAUGCGUAGAUAUCGGGAGGAACACCAGUGGCGAAAGCGGCUCUCUGGGGAUGUUCUGACGCUGAGGCGCGAAAGCGUGGGGAGCAAACCGG